UACAAUGAAAUGCAUAAAUAUAGUGGGGUACAUUAUAAUAUAAUAAAAAAAUAAUGAAUAUAAUGAAAUACAGGGAGAUAUAUUGAAAUAUAUUAACAGAAAGUUCAAGUUUCUCAGCCCCAAACCCCGUCGUCUUUGUUCAAGAAUAACCCUAAUGUUGUGUCGUCGAAAGGGCCGCGAUUCUGACUUGAAACUCCAUUGUUCUUGUUACCAUAAUACCCUCAUACGCGCUUCAAAAAAUUUAUUCUUUACAAAUGAAGCCAUCGGAUCCACCGUCAGCAGUCGACAAUCUCGAGAUAAUUUACAAGCACUGUGGCCACAAGUAGUCCGAGGCGGUGGCUGUGAGGUUGAAGUAGCAUCAAAAUUGCGAAGCUUGGAGGUCUAUCUAAAGGUUUGAACAACUUCAGUUGUAGAAUUUUGUUAUAAAACUAAACGGGUGAUGUUUUCUUGAGUUGGGACGGGACUCCUUAACAUUGGUUCUGAUUGAGUAGUGAGAAAUGUUGGAUGGAUUCUGCUACUGAAAAGAUCGAGAAUUUAUAGGCUUGGUGCAUAUGGUUGAAAAGCUUAAGGUGGAAGAUUAGAAGAAGGGAGAAUAGAU
rnacentral:lncRNA from 1 species